UAAACCAAACCAAUCCUCCCUCUAAAAACCUUUGUGUUCCUAAAUCAAACAAAUCAAACAAAAGCAUCCUCUGCAACAGUUUCCAUCUCCAUCAGCACAUGCAGGAGGCGUUGGCUAUACAAUGCAUAUAGGUUUGAAGAAGGCAAAGUCACCUGGAAGAAGCUUUGAUAUACAUUUAGGUAAAAUGAGAGACAGCACAGUGCUAAUUUGUCACCAAAAUAACAGUGGAAUAGUAGAAGCAUCUGCACCUUCAGUUGAGAAAGAUUUUGCCUCUACAGUAAAGGCAGCUACUGAAGCUCCUCCAUCGUCAUUUGAGUUCUAUGUCUGGUCAGAUGUGGGAGUUAGUCUUCAUGUUGAUUUAAAUUUGUCCCCAACAGAUUGGACUAAUAGGUUUAGAAACGAGGUUUGCAUAAGUGAGAAUAUGCAUGAAAACAAAUCCCGAAGCCUUUGGCAGGAUCUCAGUGACUUAGCCGAGAAUUCUACACAAGGAAAAUCUUCCUUUCUGUGGAGUACAAAUUCUGGCCAAAUUGAUGAGCAUGAUAGUCAGGCCAGGUCUCCCUCAAGCUUGAAACUGACAAAAGAUGGUGCUACAGAUUUAGAUCAACAGAAUACAGAUGGCAGUCCUUUGAUAUGUAAUUCAUUGACUCCAUGCAGCAUGACUGUAAAAGUGAAAGAUAAUUUACAGGAAAAGCAUUCAACUCUCUCAGCUGAAGUUAGAAAUGGUGCACUGAACACUUUUAUUUGUGGUGCCGAAUCUUUUGCUAGAGACAAGUCUAGGAAAAUCACCGAUUCAAAUGCUACCAAUAUGCCAUUCAUCAAGUCAAUUUGUGAUUCUGUUGUCAAAUCACCAUCAUAUCCUGGCAUACUAGAACUUCAAAAUUCAAAACCUGAUAAUGAAUGUUUUGAGGAUUGUGCUCUGCUAAAUGAUUCUUGCUUUGCGAAUCCUAGUUCGGUGUGUGCGGGAGCUUCAGUGAGUAGUUCUGUGGGAGUACAAAACUCAGAAGUUAUAAAUUGUCGUAAAAAUGGAUCAGUUUCACUCUAUGACAAUGAUGAUUCACUGGAUUUAAGUGAUCCAAAGAGCACUUUUCCUGACAUGGAACAGGGUAGACUAGUCAAAAGUGAGAUUAUUUUUGAAACUGACAGCAACAAUUUCACAUCAUUAACUGAUGAAUGGGAGGGUGGCAGGAUUGUUGAUCGAAGGGAGAGUUCAGAAUGCUCCCAAUUUGGUGAUCCUCCCAAGAGAUCUAACCUAGAUUGUGAUAAUCGAGAUUCUACAAUGGAGCACAGCAAAAAGAGAAAAAGCAGAGACUCUGAGAUUCAAGUUUCAAAUGGUACGACAAGAGUUUUACGAAGCAUGAAGAAUAGUGGUAUGAAGCUGCCCAGAAGAUCCAUGAGGCUAAUCUCCAAGUGAGCUCAUGAAGUGCUUGGUGCAUUAUUUGGAGUAAUUAAUUAGUUCCAGAUUUUUCAACGAAGUUAUAAUCCACUGUUUAAAAGUUGAAGAAUGAUAGUUAGUAGGUUGCUCAUUCUUUUGGAAGAGGUUAUACUCACAGUAAUAAAAAGCUAGGUGGCAUUUUUGAAAGAUUUCAGUUAUCAAACAACUAAAGAAUGUGCCAUAGUUCUGUCUAUUUUUGGCAUUUAUAAAUGAUAAAAAUCAUUGCUUGUUUUAAUAUUUAUAUUUAUCCUUUAAGACAACAUUUCUGAUUGUAUAGUUUGGCAUGUAAAUGUAUCCUUCAUCCCUUCUUGUGUUUGUAGAAACCUGAGCACAUUUUUCUUCUUUUUUUUUUUAUGCGAUAUUCAUGCUAUGAUUAAUGUUUA